rnacentral:rRNA from 1 species
GAUCGGAGUGCUUGCACUCUGUGAAACAAGAUACAGGCUAGCGGCGGACGGGUGAGUAACACGUGGGUAACCUGCCCAAGAGAUCGGGAUAACACCUGGAAACAGAUGCUAAUACCGGAUAAUAACAGAUGAUGCCUAUCAACUGUUUAAAAGAUGGUUCUGCUAUCACUCUUGGAUGGACCUGCGGUGCAUUAGCUAGUUGGUAGGGUAACGGCCUACCAAGGCGAUGAUGCAUAGCCGAGUUGAGAGACUGAUCGGCCACAUUGGGACUGAGACACGGCCCAAACUCCUACGGGAGGCAGCAGUAGGGAAUCUUCCACAAUGGACGCAAGUCUGAUGGAGCAACGCCGCGCGAGUGAAGAAGGGUUUCGGCUCGUAAAGCUCUGUUGUUGGUGAAGAAGGACAGGGGUAGUAACUGACCUUUGUUUGACGGUAAUCAAUUAGAAAGUCACGGCUAACUACGUGCCAGCAGCCGCGGUAAUACGUAGGUGGCAAGCGUUGUCCGGAUUUAUUGGGCGUAAAGCGAGUGCAGGCGGUUCGAUAAGUCUGAUGUGAAAGCCUUCGGCUCAACCGGAGAAUUGCAUCAGAAACUGUCGAGCUUGAGUACAGAAGAGGAGAGUGGAACUCCAUGUGUAGCGGUGAAAUGCGUAGAUAUAUGGAAGAACACCGGUGGCGAAGGCGGCUCUCUGGUCUGUUACUGACGCUGAGGCUCGGAAGCAUGGGUAGCGA